UGGGUAACCUGCCUUGUACAGGGGGACAACAGUUGGAAACGACUGCUAAUACCGCAUAAGUGCACAGGACCGCAUGAUCCGGUGUAAAAAGAUUUAUCGGUACAAGAUGGACCCGCGUCUGAUUAGCUAGUUGGUGAGGUAACGGCCCACCAAGGCGACGAUCAGUAGCCGGCCUGAGAGGGUGAACGGCCACAUUGGGACUGAGACACGGCCCAAACUCCUACGGGAGGCAG
rnacentral:rRNA from 1 species